AGAUGUGAUCAUACCAGCACUAAAGCACCGGAUUCCAUCAGAACUCCGAAGUUAAGCGUGCUUGGCGAGAGUAGUACUAGGAUGGGUGACCUCCUGGGAAGUCCUCGGGUUGCAUUCC
rnacentral:rRNA from 1 species